rnacentral:rRNA from 1 species
AUGGGCGGCGGAUCCGGCGGCAGGGGGAAGGGGAUGCCGCGCGCGAUGGCGCCGGUGGAGGAGGUGGACGUCGCCGCCGUCCGGUACAAGCCGGCGGAGCUGCAGGCGCCGCACCUCACGGGCUUCCCGCUCCGGGCCUUCGUCUGGCUCCUCGAGUCCCCGCUCCUCGGCCCCCUCGUCACCUCCAUCCUCAAGAAGCAGAACAACAUGACCCAGAUGCUGCAGCACACGGUGAUCCCGGAGCGGCCCAUGUUCUACCCGGAGUACCCGCCGCAGGAGCCUGAACGAGGGGUUGUGACCCUGGGGGACGACAGGGACCCUGUGGACAGAGUUGAGGAAGCACUGAGUUGCCUCGCCCCGUAUGACCCGUCGGGGCGUUUCACAUCGGCCGAUGAGAAAAACCCCUUCCUCUACUGGAAGAUACGUGACUUUGCGUAUGCGUACCGGUCUGGGAUCACGACACCGUCAGCUGUUGCAGAGCUUGUCAUAGCGGGCGUGGAGGAGUGGAACAACAAGAAGCCUCCGAUGCCAAUGCUGAUCUUUUUUAAAGCGGAUGAUCUCAGGAAGCAAGCUGAUGCUUCCACAAAGAGAUUUGAGAAAGGAAGUCCAAUUUCUGUUUUGGAUGGAAUCUUUUUCGCUGUUAAGGACGACAUUGACUGCUUACCAUACCCAUCAAAGAGUGCCACCACAUUUUUUGACGAAAUCCGCCCUGUGGAGAAAGACGCUGUUGCUGUUUCUCGUUUACGGAAAUGUGGAGUGAUCUUUAUUGGGAAAGCAAAUAUGCACGAGCUAGGCCUUGGGGUCACUGGAAACAAUCCAAACUAUGGGACAGUAAGAAAUCCACAUUCAGUCGAUAGGUAUACUGGUGGUUCUUCAUCUGGUCCAGCUGCACUUGUCUCAUCAGGGUUAUGCUCAGGAGCAAUUGGAACAGACGGCGGAGGCUCAGUUCGAAUACCAUCCUCCCUAUGUGGCAUUGUUGGUUUGAAGACAACAUUCGGACGCACAGAUAUGACUGGGGUCGUUUGUGAUGCUGGGACAGUUGAAGUUGCUUCACCUCUUACAUCAUCAGUAGAGGAUUCUGUGCUAUUGUAUUCUGCACUAGCAGGCUCUAGACCUAUGGACAAACUUACGCUGAGACCUCUUCUGCAUCUCUUUCCCUUUUCCUCUGUACAGUCCCUGCUGUGUGUUCCUAACUUGGUGUCCUCCGAGAAUAGCAAGAUCCUGCAAUCAGUGAAAGUGGGAAAAUAUACAGAGUGGUUUCAUGAUGUCCCUGAUAAUGAGGUCUCAAAUACAUGUGAAGAUGCACUUAACCUCCUAUGCAGCACCUUUGGAUGUCAGAUAGAAGAGAUAAUCUUACCAGAGCUUGAGGAAAUGCGUACAGCCCAUCUUGUCUCUAUUGGCUCAGAAGCAUUCUCAGACAUGAAUGCUCAUUACCAAGCAGGGAGGCGAACUGAAAUGACGUUAGAUACUCGAGCAAGUUUGGCACUUUUUAAGUCAUUCACUUCAGCAGAUUAUGUUGCUGCUCAAUGUCUGAGGAGAAGGAUAAUGUACUAUCACAUGGAAGCUUUCAAGAAGGUUGACGUCAUAGCAACCCCUACAACCGGCAUGACCGCGCCAAAAAUACCACCAAGUGCUCUGAAAGGAGAGUCUGAUUAUGUUGUAUCAGCCAAGCUGAUGCAAUUCAUUUUUGCCGGGAACCUUCUUGGCUUGCCUGCCAUUUCUGUUCCUGUUGGUCAUGACAAGCAAGGCCUUCCUAUCGGCUUGCAACUGAUAGGCCGUCCGUGGGGCGAGGCUAGCUUAUUGAGGGUGGCUUCGGCAGUAGAGGAGCUCUGCCUGAAGAGAAGAAGUCGGCCAUCCACAUUCUACGACAUCCUGAAGACCUGA